rnacentral:tRNA from 1 species
AAUUUAUUAGUUUAUUUAAAACAUCUACUUUGGAUGUAGAAAUUUCUUUUAUUAAUAU